rnacentral:rRNA from 1 species
AUUGAACGCUGGCGGCAGGCCUAACACAUGCAAGUCGAACGAGUGGCGGACGGGUGAGUAAUGUAUGGGAAACUGCCUGAUGGCUGGGGAUAACUACUGGAAACGGUAGCUAAUACCGCAUAACAUCCUAUUUGCCCCGAUGGGCUUAGCUUGUGGGUGGGGUAACGGCUCACCAAGGCGACGCUCCCUAGCUGGUCUGAGAGGAUGACCAGCCACACUGGAACUGAGACACGGUCCAGACGCCUACGGGAGGCAGCAGUGGGGAAUAUUGCACAAUGGGCGAAAGCCUGAUGAAGCCAUGCCGCGUGUAUGAAGAAGGCCUUCGGGUUGUAAAGUACUUUAAGCGGGGAGGCGUUACCCGCAGAAGAAGCACCGGCUAACUCCGUGCCAGCAGCCGCGGUAAUAC